UACGUAGGGUGCGAGCGUUGUCCGGAAUUAUUGGGCGUAAAGGGCUCGUAGGCGGUUUGUCGCGUCGGGAGUGAAAACUCAGGGCUUAACCCUGAGCCUGCUUCCGAUACGGGCAGACUAGAGGUAUGCAGGGGAGAACGGAAUUCCUGGUGUAGCGGUGAAAUGCGCAGAUAUCAGGAGGAACACCGAUGGCGAAGGCAGGUCUCUGGGCUGUAACUGACGCUGAGGAGCGAAAGCAUGGGGAGCGAACAGG
rnacentral:rRNA from 1 species